rnacentral:lncRNA from 1 species
AAAUUAUAUUUAUGUCCCUAUAUAUAUAUAGAGUGAGGUUACUGUGCUAUCGGAAGCACGGAGCCUUCCGUGCUUCCAGCUUGUUUUCGGUGUUGUGACUUUCGAAUCGUCGAUCGGCUCCGUUAAACUUUAUCUAGAAUAUUUGAAGUAUCUAGAAAAUAAAUUUUAUGAUUUUACGAUAUCAUUUGCCUAGUACGAAGGGGCUCAAAAUCAACGGCUGAAAAUAAAAAUCUUACAAAAUGUAAUAAUAUGACAUUAAAAUUUUAAAUCAAAGAUAUUGAUCUUGUUUUAUAUAGUAUAAAAAUUUUUCUAUCAAAAUUUCACGUGAUUUGGAUAUUUCUACACCGUUAAACUUGCAAACGGCUCACUACGACCAUUGAAAUUUAUUGAUUUUGAGCCCAUUCGAUCACUAGGCAAAUGAUAUCGAAAAAUAAUAAAAUUUAUUUUCUAGGUACUCCAAAUACUCUAGAUCAAGUUUAACGGAGCCGAUCGACGAUUCGAAAGUCGCAACAUCGAAAACGAGCUGGAAGCACGGAAGGCUGCGUGCUUCUGACAGUAUAAUAGUCUCACUCUAUAUAUAUAUAUAUAUAUAUAUAUAUAUAU